rnacentral:rRNA from 1 species
CUACGGGCGGCUGCAGUGAGGAAUAUUGCACAAUGGGGGAACCCUGAUGCAGCAACGCCGCGUGGAGGAUGACGCAUUUCGGUGUGUAAACUCCUUUUAUAUGUCAAGAAAAUGACGGUAGCAUAUGAAUAAGCACCGGCUAACUCCGUGCCAGCAGCCGCGGUAAUACGGAGGGUGCAAGCGUUACUCGGAAUCACUGGGCGUAAAGGACGCGUAGGCGGGUUGGAAAGUCAGGUGUGAAAUCCUACAGCUUAACUGUAGAACUGCACUUGAAACUUCUAAUCUAGAGUAUGGGAGGGGGAGAUGGAAUUAGUGGUGUAGGGGUAAGAUCCGUAGAUAUCACUAGGAAUACCUAAAGCGAAGGCGAUCUCCUGGAACAUUACUGACGCUAAGGCGUGAAAGCGUGGGGAGCAAACAGGAUUAGAUACCCUCGUAGUC